rnacentral:rRNA from 1 species
CACGUAGGGCGCAAGCGUUGUCCGGAAUUAUUGGGCGUAAAGAGCUCGUAGGCGGUCUGUUGCGUCCGCUGUGAAAACUCGGGGCUUAACCCCGAGCCUGCAGUGGAUACGGGCAGACUAGAGGUAGGUAGGGGAGAAUGGAAUUCACGGUGUAGCAGUGAAAUGCGUAGAUAUCGUGAGGAACACCAGAGGCGAAGGCGGUUACCUGGACAAUUACUGACGCUCAGGCACGAAAGCAUGGGGAGCAAAAGGG